CAACAACGGAUCUCUUGGUUCUGGCAUCGAUGAAGAACGCAGCGAAAUGCGAUAAGUAAUGUGAAUUGCAGAAUUCAGUGAAUCAUCGAAUCUUUGAACGCACAUUGCGCCCCUUGGUAUUCCGGGGGGCAUGCCUGUUCGAGCGUCAUUACAACCC
rnacentral:rRNA from 1 species